rnacentral:rRNA from 1 species
UACGGGGGAGCAAACGUUGUUCGGAAUCACUGGGCGUAAAGGGCGUGUAGGCGGCUGAAUAAGUGGGAUGUUAAAUCCCCGGCUCAACCGGGGACCUGCAUCUCAUACUGUUCAGCUCGAGCACAUCGAGAGGAGACUGGAAUUCCCGGUGUGAGCGGUGAAAUGCGUAGAUAUCGGGAGGAACACCAGUGGCGAAGGCGAGUCUCUGGGAU